CUCCCUUUGGCACUUCUAGGAAGUUCCCCCUCACAAAUCUACCUCCAAUUUGCUGUUGACCAUGAGCAUCAGUAAAAGAUUAUAUAUAUAAAUAAGCACAAUAUUAACAUUUUUCCCAUCAAGCAAGCAGACUCAUGCAACAAAGAGAAACCAAAGUAAAAUAAAUAAAUAAAUAAAGCAGCAAACAAAAUAGCAACAUGACAUAGCCCAGAGUUAAAUAAGAGAAUUGACAUUAAUACUAAGACAUCCAUGAACCGCAAUUGAUAUGCUACAAGAAAAUGUUCUGUGCCAUUAAAAUAACAAUUAUUAUACGUAUCAUCUUUCUAGUAUGGCCAUUAACCAUUCUCUUUAUUUAAAGUGAAUGUCUUUUCUCUUUUCUCUCCACAUCAAUCUUUAAGCCAUCAUACAAAAGAAACUCAAAUAAAACUGUUUUCCUAUGCAAUUUACAUUAAUAAAUCAAAAGUGACACCAAGCGUACAUGGUUAGCAAAAAUCUCUAGCAAUUAGAUAGAAACAUCAACAAAUUGAGUUCAGAGGAGAGGUAGCAUUAUGUAGCUUCACCAAAUAACCACUGCAGCUUGUGUCUAACAAUAGUAACAUGGUCGUUAAGAGCAAAUUUAACUUAUUGGCCCAACAAUGAUAUAUCAAUAAUUUGCCUGAACAAAUACUUAACUACACAAAACGA
rnacentral:misc_RNA from 1 species